UGGAAAGGAAGGCUGGUUUUUGCCAACUCUCCUGUUCUGACUAUGCCACAUGGAAGAUACCAUGAACAUUUUGGAGUGAAUGGUGGCAAAUAAGUUCUUCAAAUGGAGAAGGUUCUUAUGAGUUUAAUUUUCAUCAGAGGCUGGAUCAGUGGAGUGAAGAAAGGUUUCUCCAAGGGUUAAUCUAGGAAAAGGUAGACAGCAGUAAAGAAAAGCUUCAAAGGAAGAAUGUAAAACCAUUGCUUGGAUACUUAGGGACAAAAUUACAAAUGACGAAGUCCAGCUGCAGCUAGAACUAGCAGAGAACAUGAAUCAUGGGGAGCUUGCUCCCAGGAUUCUGCAUAUGCUGCUGCAGCUUGGGAAGGAGAUGGCAAUCAACAGCCACAGGUUAGUUACUACUCAGGAGGGCUGGUUUUCUUACAAUCUGUGGAAGUGGUUGGGAUUCAC
rnacentral:lncRNA from 14 species